UACGUAGGGUGCAAGCGUUGUCCGGAAUUACUGGGCGUAAAGCGUGCGCAGGCGGUUUCUUAAGUCAGAUGUGAAAGCCCCGGGCUUAACCUGGGAACUGCGUUUGAAACUGGGAGACUUGAGUGUGGCAGAGGGGGGUGGAAUUCCACGUGUAGCAGUGAAAUGCGUAGAUAUGUGGAGGAACACCAAUGGCGAAGGCAGCCCCCUGGGUCAACACUGACGCUCAUGCACGAAAGCGUGGGGAGCAAACAGG
rnacentral:rRNA from 1 species